CGCAACUGGUGCGAUGGCGGCGGUUGCGUUCACCCGUGAUGCGUAGAAAAAUUUGGCGUGAAUGGCGGUUUUUUUUUUAAACCGAGUGGUAUUGCAUCUGGACAUCGUCCUAGCUAUAGCUUAAUUUCUAGAAAUUACCAACCAUUCGACUUGUGUACGACUUAUUGGUUGGAUCAGUAUAUGAUCACGGUGAACGUUUGUCAUUGCCACAUUAUUAUUAUUUUUUAAACGAAAAGAGAAACUUUUUUAAUUGGAUCAAUCGCCUAGUGACCUAAAUACCUCUGGAUACGGAUACAUUUUGUCGAUCUCCAUUCGAUAAACGGGAAAAAUGACACCAUUUGAGUUCAGAUUAAUGUGAACUACGAUCGACUACGACGGUUUGGGACAGGAGGUCCCAGAAAUGUGAGGUACUAAAAUAAGCAUUUCGAGAAGGCCACUCACGCGAUGGCUGGAUCAUAUCCGCCCAGCGGCCCGUUCUUUUUUUAAAAAUCGUAUAUUCACGCGUAUUUGAAUUAUUUUAAAUUUCAAAAAUGGACUUGGACUUCUAUUCGAUGGAAUGGAAGCGUGUUGUAUACUACUUUCCCUGUUACUGGGCAGUCAUUCCACAUUUAGUUCAAGUUGACCCUCUAAAUAAUAUUUGGUUUUUUCUUUUUCUUAGAAGACGUGUGUAUUUUUAAGGAGAUUAUGUUAAAUAUUCUUUUGGUGCUGAAUAAUACAAGAGGCUGCUGCUGACUACAUAGUGAAAGAGAGAGAGCCCAAGGCAGCAGCAACCACUGCGUUAGCGCCAAGCCAAAUAUGGACAGAUUAGUGUUAUAAACAGUUUCUGAUUUUGCCACAAGGAGUCACUAAGUGGAGGCCCUCCUCCAGAAAAGAAAAAAGAGCAUUCAACAAUUUGAAACUGAAUAUUGUGUAAAACGUUCCGGUUCGCCUUGAGUGAACUGCUUGCCUUAGGAAAGAAAGAAAA